GACAAGGUGGCCGAGUGGUUAAGGCGCGGCACUCGAAUUCCCUAUUUCGCUAUGCCGUUCAUUCGUGAGCGUAGGUUCAAAUCCUGCCCUUGUCG